rnacentral:other from 1 species
UACUCCCUGCUCUACGCGUGAUGUACUGAUGAAUUUUGAGCCAACACUAUUCAAAGAGGGAACCUGCUCUUUAAGUAUGGAUUGUAUGCCUCUGGCACUGCCUUAGGAAACAUGAAAUACUUAAGAGGGUACCCACCUGUAAGAAAACAGGUUCAAAACUUAUCGGUUCACACGGUAUGAGCGGGGAUUUU